rnacentral:rRNA from 1 species
AACGAACGCUGGCGGCAUGCCUAACACAUGCAAGUCGAACGCCCCGCAAGGGGAGUGGCGCACGGGUGAGUAACGCGUGGGAACCUGCCCCGGAGUGGGGGAUAACCCGGCGAAAGCCGGGCUAAUACCGCAUACGGCCUAUGGGCGAAAGAUUUAUCGCUCUGGGAGGGGCCCGCGUCCGAUUAGCUAGUUGGUGAGGUAACGGCUCACCAAUGCGACGAUCGGUAGCUGGUCUGAGAGGAUGAUCAGCCACACUGGGACUGAGACACGGCCCAGACUCCUACGGGAGGCAGCAGUGGGGAAUAUUGGACAAUGGGGGCAACCCUGAUCCAGCAAUGCCGCGUGAGUGAUGAAGGCCUUAGGGUUGUAAAGCUCUUUCGGCGGGGACGAUGAUGACGGUACCCGCAGAAGAAGCCCCGGCUAACUUCGUGCCAGCCGCCGCAGUAACAC